ACAAUAAAUAAAAAUCUCAAAAAAAAAUCAAGCAAAGCAAAUAAAUAAACAAUCACGAUAUAAGAAAUUCUAAAUAAAGACGAACACUAUGGAAAGAAACAAAACUAGCCUCUCUCCUGGAUCCACGGAGUACUUACAACCUGGACAUAGCUACAAAUAAGAGCAUCGACAGCAGCGCCUUCUUCUGUCUUCCCCUCCGGGCCACUGAAGACUGGAUGACAGCGACUGAUGACGCCCCUAGAGUUAUCAAAUCAACAAUACAACUAACAAACCAGCUAAAUGUAAUUAUAUUUAAGAAUAGUAAUCCAAAUUAAAUUUAAAGAAUAGUAAUCCAAA